AACGAACGCUGGCGGCAGGCCUAACACAUGCAAGUCGAGCGCGCAGCAAUGCGAGCGGCAGACGGGUGAGUAACGCGUGGGAACCUUCCCAGUGGUGCGGAAUAGCUCAGGGAAACUUGAGGUAAUACCGCAUACGCCCGAAAGGGGAAAGAUUUAUCGCCAUUGGAUGGGCCCGCGUAGGAUUAGCUAGUUGGUGAGGUAACGGCUCACCAAGGCGACGAUCCUUAGCUGGUCUGAGAGGAUGAUCAGCCACACUGGGACUGAGACACGGCCCAGACUCCUACGGGAGGCAGCAGUGGGGAAUAUUGGACAAUGGGCGCAAGCCUGAUCCAGCCAUGCCGCGUGAGUGACGAAGGUCUUCGGAUUGUAAAGCUCUUUCAGACGGAAAGAAAUCGCAUCUUCUAAUACAGGGUGUGGAUGACGGUACCGUAAGAAGAAGCACCGGCUAACUACGUGCCAGCAGCCGCGGUAAAGCGU
rnacentral:rRNA from 1 species